UGGGGAAUAUUGCACAAUGGGCGAAAGCCUGAUGCAGCAACGCCGCGUGAGUGAUGAAGGCCUUCGGGUUGUAAAGCUCUGUCUUCUGGGACGAUAAUGACGGUACCAGAGGAGGAAGCCACGGCUAACUACGUGCCAGCAGCCGCGGUAAUACGUAGGUGGCAAGCGUUGUCCGGAUUUACUGGGCGUAAAGGAUGCGUAGGCGGAUACUCAAGUCAGAUGUGAAAAUCCCGGGCUUAACUUGGGAACUGCAUUUGAAACUGGGUAUCUAGAGUGCGGGAGAGGAAAGUGGAAUUCCUAGUGUAGCGGUGAAAUGCGUAGAGAUUAGGAAGAACACCAGUGGCGAAGGCGACUUUCUGGACCGUAACUGACGCUGAGGCAUGAAAGCGUGGGGAGCAAACA
rnacentral:rRNA from 1 species